ACCCAGAUACCUCAGCUGCCUGCCCAGCACACAAGUGAGUCACCUCUCCCUCAGGCUUCAGCCCUUGAAAGAGGGAGGAAAUAGGAGGGGUGGGCAAGAAGGUCAGGGGAAGGCUAACCAGAGAGGAGGCUCCCAGGACCCAGCCCAGAAGACCUCUGUCUCUGGUUCACUUGCUCACUCCUCCUCGCCCUCCCUGCACUAUUUAAUUCUGCUCAUUAACCACCUCCGCAUGGACCACCCCACCGGCCCUCCAAACCACAUCCCAACAGAUGUUCCCAGCAGAUGCCCUGCUUCCAGGGGACCUAACAGAUGUUGAAGGCGGCCUUGGAUGGGAGAGUGAGUUGGAAGCUUGGCAAGGAAGUUCUCCUGCAUAUCUAUCUUCAGUCCAUCUCGCUGCAAUGAAAACAACAGCAUUUUCUUGGCAUUUCAGAGAAGAACAGAAAGGAAGAGAAUGGGCAGGACGAAGGAGUCUUUGGGAGAGGGAGAAGAUGCCGCUGGAACUGAGGGGAGAGGAGCAGCUGCAGGGCUGGGGACAUGGGAGACAGAGGGGCAAGAGCACCGGCACUAGGGACCUUCCUGCAGUGAGUGGAUCACAGCUCGCUUUUCUCCUUUUCCCUUCUCAGUAGUCCUUCUUCCCCUUCAAGUCCCAUCUUUGCCCCACUCACUAUUCCCAGGAUUCUCCCCCAGUUCUUGGGGACCAUUAAGUCUUCCUCCCUUCGGGGACAAUCUCAUUAUAUAACAACUUCCAGUCUCCCAGUGGUCUCGCCUGCAGCCCACCUGCUGCCCUGGUUCUGUCCCUCUUUCUCUGCUGCUAUCCUGAAGAGAGUUGGAAAAUAGCUACUCAACUUCCAUACCUGCGAAAAUCAGCCCCCUGAGAUCCAAAGGCAAUUACCUGGCUUCCUCCCCAGAGGAGCUGGGAGGAUGAGGUCACUGAGAAGGCGAAAGAAAGGCCUUGCAGAAUACAGGAGUUGAGGCUGGGCUCAUAAGGCGGCCCCAAAGGGUGCCUGCAGCAAACUUGCCCUGAACCAUCACUGCAACAAUGCCUGAGCCUGGGGAAGCCGGCGGGGGAGGGGUGCGGUCCUGGCUCCUGACCAAGAGAGAGAGGAAGAGAGACAAGAGAGGAGAGCAAAAUAGAGCCCAGCAGAGAAAGAGAAACCAGAAAGAGAUGGGAACAAAGGAGGGAAGGGGCAGAGGAAAGGCUGCAGGAAGACUCAAAGAAGAGGAAAGCAGAGGGAGCAGAGAAGCUGCAAACAAAUCCUUGAUGAUCCCCUUAAAGACUCAACAAAGAGGGAAAGAUCUGUUUCAAGGUUCCCGGCUCCUCCAUCCCAGUCUGAUGGGAAUAGCCAAAAAACUAAAGAGGAGAAGAUGAGACACAACCCCUCACUGCAUUGACUUCAGGAGCUCCCUGGCCCGGGGGCGGGUGGAAAGGGUCUAGAGACAUCCAAGCUUCCUGAGUCUGUCUGUCACCUGGCCUUCCAGUCUGAUAGCAUCAUCCCCAACCUACUUCACCCUCCUCCUGGCAAAAGUGAUAAGUGGCAACCUCAAACGUGGGGUCUCCUCUGUCUUUUUUAACCGGCCUCCUGGGGCUCCCGGGCAAGCAGAGUGCUUUUGGGUUCUAAGGGACUUUAGAGAUUCUCUAGAAUAGGAUGUGUCAUACCUGGUCAUAUCACCCCCAGGCCUAGAGAUUUAGGA